rfam:Oryza sativa (indica cultivar-group) chromosome 3, whole genome shotgun sequence.
UAUAAGUGAAGCCAUAAGUUUUCGUGCCGAACUUUGAUCGUCUGUCUUGUUUGAAAUUUUUUUAUGAUUAGUAUUUUUGUUGUUAUUAGAUGAUAAAAUAUGAAUAUUACUUUAUACGUGACUUAUGUUUUUAAUUUUUUUUAAAAAAAUUUAAAAAAGACGGGUGAUUAAAGUUGGACACGGAAAAUCAUGGAUGUACUUAAA